AUUGAACGCUGGCGGCAGGCCUAACACAUGCAAGUCGAACGGUAACAGGAAGAAGCUUGCUUCUUUGCUGACGAGUGGCGGACGGGUGAGUAAUGUCCGGGAAACUGCCUGAUGGAGGGGGAUAACUACUGGAAACGGUAGCUAAUACCGCAUAACGUCGCAAGACCAAAGAGGGGGACCUUCGGGCCUCUUGCCAUCGGAUGUGCCCAGAUGGGAUUAGCUAGUAGGUGGGGUAACGGCUCACCUAGGCGACGAUCCCUAGCUGGUCUGAGAGGAUGACCAGCCACACUGGAACUGAGACACGGUCCAGACUCCUACGGGAGGCAGCAGUGGGGAAUAUUGCACAAUGGGCGCAAGCCUGAUGCAGCCAUGCCGCGUGUAUGAAGAAGGCCUUCGGGUUGUAAAGUACUUUCAGCGGGGAGGAAGGGAGUAAAGUUAAUACCUUUGCUCAUUGACGUUACCCGCAGAAGAAGCACCGGCUAACUCCGU
rnacentral:rRNA from 1 species